rnacentral:rRNA from 1 species
GACAGAGGGGGGCGAGCAUUAUCUUUGAUAACUGGGCAUAAAGGAUGCGUAGGUGGAUAUUAAUAAAAACAGCUUGAUGGAAAUGUUUUACGUAUUGACGUAAAUCUUAUCUUGCAUUGUUUAUCUAGAGAUAUAAAUAAGUUUGUGGAAGGCGAUAUGGAAUAGGGCAUUUGUCUUUUUAAUAUAUUGAGUAAUAUCAAAAAAGCGAAAGCAG